ensembl:Mt_tRNA
UGGUAAUUAGUUUAAACAACAAAACAAAUGAUUUCGACUCAUUAAAUUAUGAUCCAUCUCAUAAUUACCAA